rnacentral:rRNA from 1 species
GACGAACGCUGGCGGCGUGCCUAAUACAUGCAAGUCGAGCGCAGUGGGGACGGGUGAGUAACACGUUGGUAACCUCCCAUCAGAGGGGAUAACACUUGGAAACAGGUGCUAAACCGAUACUGAUGGAUGGACCCGCGGUGCAUUGGCGAGUGGGUGGGGUAACGGCUCACCAAGGCCACGAUGCAUAGCCGACCUGAGAGGAUGAUCAGCCACACGGGGACUGAGACACGGCCCAACCUCGUGCGGGAGGCAGCAGUGGGAAAUCUUCGGCAAGGAGCGAAGGUCUGACCGAGCAAAGCCGCGUGAGUGAAGAAGGUUUUCGGAUCGUAAAGCACUGUUGUUAGAGAAGCGGUAUAUAACCAAAAAGCCACGGCUAACUACGUGCCAGCAGCCGCGGUAAUAC